rnacentral:rRNA from 1 species
GAUUAUGGCUCAGGAUGAACGCUAGCUACAGGCUUAACACAUGCAAGUCGAGGGGCAGCAUUGGAGUAGCAAUACUCAGAUGGCGACCGGCGCACGGGUGAGUAACACGUAUCCAACCUGCCGCUUACUCGGGGAUAGCCUUUCGAAAGAAAGAUUAAUACCCGAUGGUAUAAAGAGUUCGCAUGUUCUCUUUAUUAAAGAAUUUCGGUAAGCGAUGGGGAUGCGUUCCAUUAGAUAGUUGGCGGGGUAACGGCCCACCAAGUCUACGAUGGAUAGGGGUUCUGAGAGGAAGGUCCCCCACAUUGGAACUGAGACACGGUCCAAACUCCUACGGGAGGCAGCAGUGAGGAAUAUUGGUCAAUGGACGAGAGUCUGAACCAGCCAAAGUAGCGUGAAGGAUGACUGCCCUAUGGGUUGUAAACUUCUUUUAUAAGGGAAUAAAGUGAGGGACGUGUCCCUUUUUGUAUGUACCUUAUGAAUAAGGAUCGGCUAACUCCGUGCCAGCCGCCGC